rnacentral:rRNA from 1 species
CGCUGGUGGCGUGCCUUACACAUGCAAGUCGAACGGUAACAGGUCUUCGGAUGCUGACGAGUGGCGAACGGGUGAGUAAUACAUCGGAACGUGCCCAGUAUGGGCGGAUAACUCGGCGAAAGCCGGAUUAAUACCGCAUACGCCCUGAGGGGGGAAGUGGGGGAUCGCAAGACCUCACGUUAUUGGAGCGGCCGAUGGCUGAUUAGCUAGUUGGUAGGGUAGAAGGCCUACCAAGGCGACGAUCAGUAACUGGUCUGACAGGACGAUCAUCCACACUGGGACUGAGACACGGACCAGACUCCUACGGAAGGCAACACUGGCGAAAUUUGGACAAUGGGGGAAACCCUGAUCCAUCAAUGCCGCGAGUGCAAACAAAGCCUUCGGCUUGUAAAGCACUUUUGUCACGUAAGAAAUCCUUUGGUCUAAUACCCUAGGGGGAUGACGGUACCUGAAGAAUAAGCACCAGCUAACUACGUGCCAGCAGCCGCGCUAAUACAUAUGGUGCACGCGUUACUCGGAAUUACUGGGCGGAAAGCGUGCGCCCGCAGUUGUGGAAGACAGGUGUGAAAUCCCCGGACUGAACCUGCGAAUUGCAUUUGUGACUGCUCGACUACAGUGUGUCAUAGGGGGUUGGAAUUCCACGUGUAGCAGAGAAAUGCGUAGAUAUGAGUAGGAACACCAAUGGCGAAGGCAGCCCGCUGGGAUAACACUGACGCUCAUGCACGAAAGAGUGGGGAGCAAACAGGAUUAGAUACGUUGGUAGUGCACGCGAUAAAUGAUGUCAAUUAGUUGUUGGGGAUUUAUUUCCUUGGUAACGUAGGUAACGAGUGAAGUUGACGGCGUGGGGAGUACGACGGCAAGGUUAAAAAUCAAAGGAAUUGACGGGGACCCGCACAAGCGGUGGAUGAUGUGGAUUAAUUCGAUGCAACGAGAAAAACCUUAUCUAGCCUUGACAUGGCAGGAACUUUCCAGAGAUGUAUUGGUGCUAGAAAGAGAACCUGCACACAGGUGGUGCAUGUCUGUUGUCAGCUCGAGUCGUGAGAUGUUGGGUUAAGUCGAGCAACGAGCGCAUCCCUUGUCAUUAGCUGUUAGGAAAGGGCAUUAUAAUGAGACUGCCGGUGACAAACCGGAGGAAGGUGGGGAUGACGUCAAGUCUUCAUGGCCCUUAUGGGUAGGGCUUCACACGUCAUCCAAUGGUCGGUACAGAGGGUAGCCAAGCCGCGAGGUGGAGCCAAUCCCAGAAACCCGAUCGUAGUCCGGAUCGCAGUCUGCAACUCGACUGCGUGAAGUCGGAAUCGCUAGUAAUCGCGGAUCAGAAUGCCGCGGUGAAUACGUUCCCGGGUCUUGUACACACCGCCCGUCACACCAUGGGAGUGGGUUGUACCAGAAGUGGCCAGUCUAACCGCAAGGAGGCCGGUCACCACGGUAGGAUUCAUGACUGGGGUGA